rnacentral:rRNA from 1 species
CCCUUAGAUGUUCUGGGCAGCACGCGCGCUACAAUGGUCUUCGCAAACGGAUGCAUUCUCGAAGGAGAAUACCAAUCUUGGAAUCUAUGCCUUGGUCGGGACAGUUGCUUGCAAUUUUUCGACUCGAACCAGGAAUUCCUUGUAAUCGUGAUUCAUCACAUCACGAUGAAUACGUCCCUGCCCUUUGUACACACCGCCCGUCGCUCCUACCGAUCGAAGAGUUAGGUGAAUUGUUUUGAUCGAUAAGAUUUGACUAUGGUCAACUCUCGUUGUGAAAUUCUGUGAAUCUGACUGUUUAGAGGAAGGAAAAGUCGUAACA